GAGGCUAGCAUGGGCUUGAUGGGCAGAAUAGCCUUUGGCUGUGUCAUAAUGGGAUAAUAUAAACUGGUAUGGAUUUGGAAUGAAACAGGUACCCCGAUGGUAAUAUGAUACAGUAUAAAACACUCAACUCUGUCUCCAAUGGUGUUUUCAACAGCGACGGCUUGUACAGAUACCAAACAUUUCCUGCUGCACGCUUAACUUUCAUUAGCUGUCAGCCUUUGUGGCUGUCAAAAUAAAAGUUGACUUCAAACAGCUUUAGCACAUUGCCUGUGGCAGCGGCUUAGUGACAUUAAAAGGAAAUGUGUUGAGGGCUAGGUGGCCUGGAGAGACUGGCGGUUAGAAGAUUCACUUCAUGUCCUGUGGUUGACUGGCUGGCUACAUUCGACAGAAAUGUUGAUUGUCCACAACAGCUUCCAUGCUGAUUGCUACAAGGCUGUGGGUCUGGAUUAGAAAUGGAAGCAUUCCAAUGUCUGCAGCCACCCACCGAUGACAUGGAACCAGGGGACUGCCAGACUCGGCCAUGAUAUGAAGCCACAUUCAAGUAAACCACCUUCUGGGAGGACUUCAAGCUAGUCUAUUAAAACAAAUGGAUCAAGUUCCACUCCCUACCAUCCCAUACCAGAUAGUAUCUGACCAGUGUAUGUCACAACUGUACGAAACUUUACAUCGAGAGCUUGCAGUCUCGGGAGAGGCCGAGGCGGGAGCUCCAAUGACGCAGAGGUUCGACAAGCCCCGAUCUGGGGUCCGAUCGCCAGCGUGGGGGAGCUGACAUCCCCCCGAUGCGGGAGCUGAUCUCCCCGACGUGGAGGAUCCAAAUACCACUGGCUCAUCCCGUCAACGGAGGGCUCGAGGCCCCCUGACCACGGGAGAACAAAGAAGGGAAGAGAUUGAACUUUUUUUUUCGCCUUCCAUCACAGUGAGGAAUGUGGAGGAGUCACUGUGGUGGAUGUUUAUGUUAAAAUGUAUUUUGUGCGUUCCGUUGCUUUUUAUUUGCAAAUGAAAUUCCUCAUAUGUUGCAAACAAUAAGUUGCUAAUAGAGUAUUAU